rnacentral:rRNA from 1 species
UGGCGGCGUGGUUAAGACAUGCAAGUCGAACGAGAGAAUUGCUAGCUUGCUAAUAAUUCUCUAGUGGCGCACGGGUGAGUAACACGUGAGUAACCUGCCCCCGAGAGCGGGAUAGCCCUGGGAAACUGGGAUUAAUACCGCAUAGUAUCGAAAGAUUAAAGCAGCAAUGCGCUUGGGGAUGGGCUCGCGGCCUAUUAGUUAGUUGGUGAGGUAACGGCUCACCAAGGCGAUGACGGGUAGCCGGUCUGAGAGGAUGUCCGGCCACACUGGAACUGAGACACGGUCCAGACACCUACGGGUGGCAGCAGUCGAGAAUCAUUCACAAUGGGGGAAACCCUGAUGGUGCGACGCCGCGUGGGGGAAUGAAGGUCUUCGGAUUGUAAACUCCUGUCAUGUGGGAGCAAAUUAAAAAGAUAGUACCACAAGAGGAAGAGACGGCUAACUCUGUGCCAGCAGCCGCGGUAAUACAGAGGUCUCAAGCGUUGUUCGGAAUCACUGGGCGUAAAGCGUGCGUAGGCUGUUUCGUAAGUCGUGUGUGAAAGGCGCGGGCUCAACCCGCGGACGGCACAUGAUACUGCGAGACUAGAGUAAUGGAGGGGGAACCGGAAUUCUCGGUGUAGCA